rnacentral:tRNA from 1 species
GGGAGCAUAGCUUAGUUGGUAGAAUAUUUGUUUGGCAUGCAUGAGGUCUUGGGUUCUAUUCCAAGCAUUUACG